rnacentral:rRNA from 1 species
UAGAGUUUGAUCCUGGCUCAGAUUGAACGCUGGCGGCAGGCCUAACACAUGCAAGUCGAGCGGUAACACAGGGGAGCUUGCUCCUUGGGUGACGAGCGGCGGACGGGUGAGUAAUGCCUGGGGAUCUGCCCGAUAGAGGGGGAUAACUACGGGAAACUGUAGCUAAUACCGCAUAAUGUCUACGGACCAAAGUGGGGGCUCUUCGGACCUCAUGCUAUCGGAUGAACCCAGGUGGGAUUAGCUAGUUGGUGAGGUAAUGGCUCACCAAGGCGACGAUCUCUAACUGGUUUGAGAGAAUGACCAGUCACACUGGAACUGAGACACGGUCCAGACUCCUACGGGAGGCAGCAGUGGGGAAUAUUGCACAAUGGGCGCAAGCCUGAUGCAGCCAUGCCGCGUGUGUGAAGAAGGCCUUCGGGUUGUAAAGCACUUUCAGCGGGGAGGAAGGGUCACUAGUUAAUACCUAGUGGCAUUGACGUUACUCGCAGAAGAAGCACCGGCUAACUCCGUGCCAGCAGCCGCGGUAAUACGGAGGGCGCAAGCGUUAAUCGGAAUUACUGGGCGUAAAGCGCACGCAGGCGGUUUGUUAAGUCAGAUGUGAAAUCCCCGAGCUCAACUUGGGAACCGCAUUUGAAACUGGCAAGCUAGAGUCUUGUAGAGGGGGGUAGAAUUCCAGGUGUAGCGGUGAAAUGCGUAGAGAUCUGGAGGAAUACCGGUGGCGAAGGCGGCCCCCUGGACAAAGACUGACGCUCAGGUGCGAAACGCGUGGGGAGCAAACAGGAUUAGAUACCCUGGUGGUCCACGCUGUAAAC